rnacentral:rRNA from 1 species
UACAGAGGGUGCAAGCGUUGUCCGGAAUUAUUGGGCGUAAAGAGCUCGUAGGCGGUCUGUCGCGUCGGCUGUGAAAACCCGGAGCUCAACUCCGGGCCUGCAGUCGAUACGGGCAAACUGGAGUACUGCAGGGGAGACUGGAAUUCCUGGUGAUAGCGGUGAAAUGCGCAGACUAUCAGGAGGAACACCGGUGGCGAAGGCGGGUCUCUGGGCGAGUAACUGACGCUGGAGGAGCGAAAGCGUGGGGAGC